UACGGGGGGAGCAAGCGUUGUUCGGAAUCACUGGGCGUAAAGGGCGUCUAGGCGGUUUGGUAAGUGGGAUGUGAAAUCCCCGGGCUCACCCCGGGACCUGCAUCCCAAACUGCUGAGCUUGAGUACAGGAGAGGGUGGGGGAAUUCCAGGUGUAGCGGUGAAAUGCGUAGAUAUCUGGAGGAACACCUAUUGCGAAGGCAGCUCGCUGGGACGUAACUGACGCUGAGACGCGAAAGCGUGGGGAGCAAACAGG
rnacentral:rRNA from 1 species